rnacentral:rRNA from 1 species
UACGUAGGGAGCAAGCGUUGUCCGGAAUCAUUGGGCGUAAAGCGCGCGUAGGUGGCCCCAUAAGUCCGCUGUGAAAGUCAAAGGCUCAACCUUUGAAAGCCGGUGGAUACUGUGGGACUAGAGUACGGAAGAGGCGAGUGGAAUUCCUGGUGUAGCGGUGGAAUGCGCAGAUAUCGGGAAGAACACCCGUGGCGAAGGCGGCUCUCUGGGACGGUACUGACGCUGAGACGCGAAAGCUAGGGGAGCAAACGGG